AUUGAACGCUGGCGGCAGGCCUAACACAUGCAAGUCGAGCGGAUGAGAGGAGCUUGCUUCUCGAUUCAGCGGCGGACGGGUGAGUAAUGCCUAGGAAUCUGCCUGGUAGUGGGGGACAACGUUUCGAAGGGAACGCUAAUACCGCAUACGUCCUACGGGAGAAAGCAGGGGACCUUCGGGCCUUGCGCUAUCAGAUGAGCCUAGGUCGGAUUAGCUAGUUGGUGAGGUAAUGGCUCACCAAGGCGACGAUCCGUAACUGGUCUGAGAGGAUGAUCAGUCACACUGGAACUGAGACACGGUCCAGACCCCUACGGGAGGCAGCAGUGGGGAAUAUUGGACAAUGGGCGAAAGCCUGAUCCAGCCAUGCCGCGUGUGUGAAGAAGGUCUUCGGAUUGUAAAGCACUUUAAGUUGGGAGGAAGGGUUGUAGGUUAAUACCCUGCGGUUUUGACGUUACCGACAGAAUAAGCACCGGCUAACUACGUGCCAGCAGCCGCGGUAA
rnacentral:rRNA from 1 species